CUUCUUUACUAUUAUUUCCAAGUGGCUCCUCCAUUAUAAAAACAAUAGGACAUCCGUAGAUGGUGUUCCCUGUGUUCAUUGUAAUAAUAACACUACCUGGGUUAUCACCUGAUUCAAGGAUUUUACUGCGUUUGUUAUAGACUUUAUCUGUUACACCGUGAAUAUAUAACUCUCCGUUCAUAUACCCCAGUUUUCCUAGUACAUGUAUAUCCCUUUUCACACCUUACCCCCUUUCUUUUCCAAUAUAUCUUUUAUAACAGAUUAUGUCUCCCGAGUACUAUGGAGCACGUGAAAUUCCGUAGGAAUCAGCCCCGACCAUGGGGUAAGGCUAAAUACUAACUGAUGACCGAUAGUGAACUAGUACCGUGAGGGAAAGGUGAAAAGAACCCCGGAAGGGGAGUGAAAUAGAAACUGAAAUCAAAUAUUUACAAGCGGUGGAAGCGAUGUAUACGUACGCGCAACCACGUGCCUUUUGCAUAAUGAUCCAGCGAGUUAUACCUAUAUUGCAAGGUUAAGUUUAGUAAGAACGGAGCCGUAGCGAAAGCGAGUCUGAAUAGGGCGAUUAGUAGCGUGCGAUAUACCCGAAACCUAGCGAGCUAUCCAUGUCCAGGAUGAAGUUUCAGUUAAAUGAAAUGGAGGUCCGAACCGGUGUGAUUUGAAAAAUACUCGGAUGAGGUGUGGAUUGGAGUGAAAGGCUAAUCAAGCUGGGAAAUAGCUGGUUCUUUCCGAAAUAUAUUUAGGUAUAGCCUCGAUGGAUUAUAUAGGGGGGUAAAGCACAGUUUUAAUUUUGGGGUCGCAAGAUUACCGGAUUUUUACUAACUCUGAAUACUCUAUAUUUAGAAGUCGGGAGACAGGCUACGAGAGAUAAGUUCCGUGGCCGAGAGGGAAAAAGCCCAGACCAUCAAUUAAGGUCCCCAAGUAUCUACUAAGUGGUAAAAGAUGUGAAAAUACACAGACAGCCAGGAGGUUGGCUUAGAAGCAGCCAUCCUUUAAAGAAAGCGUAAUAGCUCACUUGCUAAGUGUUUUUGCGCUGAAGCAUACACGGGGCUAAGUAGAUCACCGAAAUUAUGGUUUGUACAAUUUUUUAAAAUUGUAUGAAGGUAGGAAAGCGUUCUUAGAUAGAAACAAGUUUGACCGUGAGGGCAGAUGAUGGAUCUAAGAAGUGAGUAUGUUGGUAUAAGUAACGAAAAAACAGGUGAGAUUCCUGUUCGCCGUAAAUCUAAGGGUUCCUGAGAACGGUUCAUCCACUCAGGGUUAGUCGAUCCCUAAGCCGAGGCCAAUUGGAGUAGGUGAUGGGAAAACAGGUGAAUAUUCCUGUACUAUAAGAGACGUUUGAACGAUGGAGUGACGCAGUAGGAUAUGUUUAGUGAGUGUUUGGUGCUCAUCUAAGUUUCAAGGGAGAUGGUAUAGGUAAAUCCGUAUCAUUGUUGAACUGAGAAAUAAUGGGUCUGGAGAGGUAACUUUUUGGAUUAGACAGAUUUCACACUGACAAGAAAAACUUCUAGUGAGUUGUAUUAUAAUCGUACCGCAAACUGACACAAGUAGAUGGGCUGAGAAUGCUCAGGCGUUGAGAUAAGUAUCGUUAAGGAACUCGGCAAAAUAGCCUCGUAACUUCGGGAGAAGAGGUGCCUGUAUUGUGAAGUUAAAUUUGCAUUAACAGGUUUCAACAAAGAGGCCCAAUCGACUGUUUAGCAAAAACACAGAGCUCUGCAAACUCGAAAGAGGAAGUAUAGAGUUUGACGCCUGCCCAGUGCUGGAAGGUUAACAGGAGAUGUUAGUUGUAAAAGAUGAAGCAUUGAAUCGAAGCCCCGGUAAACGGCGGCCGUAACUAUAACGGUCCUAAGGUAGCGAAGUCCCUUGUCGGGUAAGUUCCGACCUGCAUGAAUGGCGUAACGAGUUGGGCGCUGUCUUAACGAUACACUCAGUGAAUUUGUAGUAGGGGUGAAAAUGCCCCUUACCUGCAACUGGACGGAAAGACCCCGUGCACCUUUACUGUAGUUUUGCAUUGGUAUUUGGAUAAAUAUGUGUAGGAUAGGUGGGAGACUGUGAUGUUUAAGCGCUAGCUUAAGCGGAGUCAACGUUGAAAUACCACUCUUAUUUGUUUGGAUAUCUAACUUUAAUCCAUUUAUCUGGAUGAAGGACAUUGCAUGGGACAGUAUCGUGACUGGGAAACAGAUCGGAAGAGCACACGUCUGAACUCCAGUCACCGGCUAUGAUCUCGUAUGCCGUCUUCUGCUUGAAAAAAAAAAA
rnacentral:rRNA from 1 species